AUUGAACGCUGGCGGCAUGCCUUACACAUGCAAGUCGAACGGUAACAGGUCUUCGGACGCUGACGAGUGGCGAACGGGUGAGUAAUACAUCGGAACGUGCCUAGUAGUGGGGGAUAACUACUCGAAGAGUGGCUAAUACCGCAUGAGAUCUACGGAUGAAAGCAGGGGAUCGCAAGACCUUGUGCUACUAGAGCGGCCGAUGGCAGAUUAGGUAGUUGGUGGGAUAAAAGCUUACCAAGCCGACGAUCUGUAGCUGGUCUGAGAGGACGAUCAGCCACACUGGGACUGAGACACGGCCCAGACUCCUACGUGAGGCAGCAGUGGCGAAUUUUGGACAAUGGGCGCAAGCCUGAUCCAGCAAUGCCGCGUGCAGGAUGAAGGCCUUCGGGUUGUAAACUGCUUUUGUACGGAACGAAAAGCCCCGGGUUAAUACCCUGGGGUCAUGACGGUACCGUAAGAAUAAGCACCGGCUAACUACGUGCCAGCCGCCGCCGUAA
rnacentral:rRNA from 1 species